CCUACGGGGGGCAGCAGUGAGGAAUAUUGGUCAAUGGCCGGAAGGCUGAACCAGCCAUGCCGCGUGAAGGUCAGUGCCCUAUGGGCGUUAAACUUCUUUUGUGCGGGAGCAAUAAUGGUCACGUGUGGCCAGACGAGAGUACCGUACGAAUAAGCAUCGGUUAACUCCGUGCCAGCAGCCGCGGUAAUACGGGGGAUGCAAGCGUUAUCCGGAGUUAUUGGGUUUAAAGGGUGCGUAGGCUGUGAGGUAAGUCAGCGGGGAAAUGCUCCCGCUAAACGGGGUGAAGUGCCAUUGAUACUGGCUGGCUGGAAUGCGGAUGCCGUGGGAGGAAUGUGUGGUGUAGCGGUGAAAUGCAUAGAUAUCACACAGAACACCGAUUGCGAAGGCAUCUCACGAAUCCGCGAUUGACGCUGAUGCACGAAAGCGUGGGUAUCAAACAGGAUUAGAUACCCCUGUAGUC
rnacentral:rRNA from 1 species